UACGUAGGGUGCGAGCGUUAAUCGGAAUUACUGGGCGUAAAGCGUGCGUAGGCGGUUCGUUAUGUCUGCUGUGAAAGCCCCGGGCUUAACCUGGGAAUGGCAGUGGAAACUGGCGGGCUUGAGUGUGGCAGAGGGGGGUGGAAUUCCGCGUGUAGCAGUGAAAUGCGUAGAUAUCGAGAGGAACACCUGCGGCGAAGGCGGGUUGCUGGGCUGACACUGACGCCGAUGUGCGAAAGCUAGGGGAGCGAACGGG
rnacentral:rRNA from 1 species